UACGGAGGGGGCUAGCGUUGUUCGGAAUUACUGGGCGUAAAGCGCACGUAGGCGGCUUUGUAAGUUAGAGGUGAAAGCCCAGAGCUCAACUCUGGAAUUGCCUUUAAGACUGCAUCGCUUGAAUCAUGGAGAGGUGAGUGGAAUUCCGAGUGUAGAGGUGAAAUUCGUAGAUAUCGGAAGAACACCAGUGGCGAAGGCGACUCACUGGACAUGUAUUGACGCUGAGGUGCGAAAGCGUGGGGAGCAAACAGGGA
rnacentral:rRNA from 1 species